ACCGGGUGAGGACGCUGGUGUGUCCGGCGGUUUCAUAAGCCGCGGUAGGCAGGUUCGAUUCCUGCACCCGGUA
rnacentral:tRNA from 1 species